CCUACGGGAGGCAGCAGUGGGGAAUAUUGCACAAUGGGGGAAACCCUGAUGCAGCGACGCCGCGUGAGCGAUGGAGUAUCUCGGUAUGUAAAGCCCUAUCAGCAGGGAAGAAGAUGACGGUACCUGACUAAGAAGCCCCGGCUAACUACGUGCCAGCAGCCGCGGUAAUACGUAGGGGGCAAGCGUUAUCCGGAUUUACUGGGUGUAAGGGGAGCGUAGACGGCGAUGCAAGCCAGAUGUGAAAGCCCGGGGCUCAACCCCGGGACUGCAUUUGGAACUGUGUGGCUGGAGUGUCGGAGAGGCAAGCGGAAUGCCUGGUGUAGCGGUGAAAUGCGUAGAUAUUAGGAGGAACACCAGUGGCGAAGGCGGCCUGCUGGACGAUGACUGACGUUGAGGCUCGAAAGCGUGGGGAGCAAACAGGAUUAGAUACCCCUGUAGUC
rnacentral:rRNA from 1 species